UCUUCACUGUUUCUACAGGCAAUUCAUUUCAUCAGGUGCUCCAGUGGUUGCUUGGAAUUUCACAAUGGUCAACAUCACAUGUUUGCCAUUGCUGAAAGCAGGUUGCAUACCCAGCUACUACCUUCCCCAUUCCCCUAUUGAUCAAGGCAGCACCCACGACAGUCAUAUCACUGACAACAGUCGAUUCCAAACCAAGAUUGAAGAUGGCAAUACCACUGGUGUAUCACACGGUGGUGCUGGUGAUAUCCCACUCGUCAAACAGUUGUUUUACCCUCUCUGCAGUCGCCUCCACAUCCUGCCUUCAAUUUUCAACUUCUCAAUCCCGUAUCCCCUUGGCGAACGUCCCGAGGCGCUCGUUGGCCGCGAUUCCUCAAAUCCAGAGUUGUUCCAGCCAAAAGAUAGACAAAAGGAAUGUACGCGGGAGACCAAGGUGAUGUAUAAAGCUGGAAUUUCGUGUGCUGAUGGACAUCGAAGCCGAUACACUGGGAAAAAUCACAGAGCCAUCGGAAAGCAUCCGUAAAUGAAAAUAUCUGAAAAUAAGUGCAGCCCUGUGCUCACUGCAGAUUUUGGCCCUGGUCUUCACGAGCCUGGGAUUCGCUAAGAAGCACCUGCGAAUCACAAGAUACCAUGCAAUCUACUGCAAUUGCUUCAAGUUUGUUUUUUAUUACUCAACUGCACUCUGCUCACAAACUUGAACACAUGUGAAGGCAUUGCCAUUCUGAUCCCACCCUUAGUCUGCAUGUUCCGAUCAUUGCUUUUUUCAAUUGCUGGUGUAUAGUCUUGACUGGCCGUCUGUAAUGGAUACAUUUGCAAGUUUUGCUAUUUUCUUGAAGGAUAGCCGAGUUUCACAAGCUCAACCUGUGAUAUCGUUGACUUUUGUGCGUUAAUUUAGUGAAACACAGCUUCAUUUUAGAUCACACACCAAGAGGGGUAUAUGGAGCAUACAAUAGCAUGUGAGUUGUUGCAUUUUGAUGAAACACUUCAAUAUGGCAUGACUUGAAGCAACAGAGCAGAUCCUGGUAUUUGUGGCCACCAGAUUAUAUGCACGUUAUCCAAUCACGAAGCAAAAUAAAAGUUGUAUCAUUCUUUGCUC
rnacentral:lncRNA from 1 species